rnacentral:rRNA from 1 species
GCUUAAAGGGGCCGUAGCUUGCUAUGCAAGUCCCCUGUUAAAUCCACCGAUUUAAUCGUUGGAUUGCGGGUGAUACUGUUUGGCUAGGGGACGGGAGAGGCCGACGGUAUUUCCGGGGUAGGGGUGAAAUCCUAUAAUCCCGGGAAGACCACCAGUGGCGAAGGCUGUCGGCUAGAACGCGCCCGACGGUGAGGGAUGAAAGCUGGGGGAGCGAACCGGAUUAGAUACCCGGGUAGUCCCAGCUGUAAACGAUGCAGGCUAGGUGUUUGGGCGGCCACGAGCCGCUCUAGUGCCGCAGGGAAGCUGUUAAGCCUGCCGCCUGGGGAGUACGGCCGCAAGGCUGAAACUUAAAGGAAUUGGCGGGGGAGCACCACAAGGGGUGAAGCUUGCGGUUUAAUUGGAGUCAACGCCGGAAAUCUCACCGGGAGCGACAGCAGUAUGAAGGCCAGAUUAAAGGUCUUGCUAGACGAGCUGAGAGGAGGUGCAUGGCCGUCGCCAGUUCGUGCCGUGAGGUGUCCUGUUAAGUCAGGCAACGAUCGAGACCCGCGUCCUCUGUUGCUACUGGCUUUGCGCCAGGCACACUGAGGAGACCGCCGCUGAUAAAGCGGAGGAAGGAGCGGGCCACAGCAGGUCAGUAUGCCCCGAAUCUCCCGGGCCACACGCGAGCUGCAAUGGCAGGUACAAUGGGUUCCGACCUCGCAAGGGGAAGGCAAUCCCGAAAGCCUGCCGUAGUUGGGAUCGAGGGUUGAAACUCAUCCUCGUGAACAUGGAAUCCCUAGUAAUCGCGUGUCACUAGCGCGCGGUGAAUACGUCCCUGCUCCUUGCACACACCGCCCGUCGUUCCACCCGAGUGACUCUUGGGUGAGGCGUGGUCUUUCUUGGCUGCGUCGAAUCUGAGUUUCGCAAGGGGGGAA